rnacentral:rRNA from 1 species
CCUACGAGCGGCUGCAGUGGGGAAUAUUGGACAAUGGGGGCAACCCUGAUCCAGCCAUGCCGCGUGUGUGAAGAAGGCCCUCGGGUUGUAAAGCACUUUCAGUGAGGAAGAACGCCUGGUGGUUAAUACCCAUCAGGAAAGACAUCACUCACAGAAGAAGCACCGGCUAACUCCGUGCCAGCAGCCGCGGUAAUACGGAGGGUGCGAGCGUUAAUCGGAAUUACUGGGCGUAAAGCGCGCGUAGGUGGCUUGAUAAGCCGGUUGUGAAAGCCCCGGGCUCAACCUGGGAACGGCAUCCGGAACUGUCAAGCUAGAGUGCAGGAGAGGAAGGUAGAAUUCCCGGUGUAGCGGUGAAAUGCGUAGAGAUCGGGAGGAAUACCAGUGGCGAAGGCGGCCUUCUGGACUGACACUGACACUGAGGUGCGAAAGCGUGGGUAGCAAACAGGAUUAGAUACCCGGGUAGUC